AGACCUGGGGUCCGUUUCACGUAGCAGGUUUAAUGGAAACUCAGAGUCUGUUAACCCUGAAAUCAGGGAAACUCUGAGUUUUCCGUUUCACAAAGGAGGGUCAGUUAAACCAGAGAGAGAGGGGUAACUCUAACCUGUUUCACAAAGAGAGGUAACUCAACCUCGCGGUCAGUUACCAUAGUAACAGACUCCGUGAACCUAACCUGCUCGGGAGCAGGUUUAACUCAGUAAACCCAGAGUUUCAGGUGAGGCAUCGGCAUUUUCUC